rnacentral:rRNA from 1 species
AAACCAACAGGGAUUACCUCAGUAACGGCGAGUGAAGCGGUAACAGCUCAAAUUUGAAAUCUGGCUCUUUCAGGGUCCGAGUUGUAAUUUGUAGAAGAUGCUUUGGGUGUGGCCCUGGUCUAAGUUCCUUGGAACAGGACGUCAUAGAGGGUGAGAAUCCCGUAUGUGACUAGGUGCUUUCGCCCGUGUAAAGCUCUUUCGACGAGUCGAGUUGUUUGGGAAUGCAGCUCAAAAUGGGUGGUAAAUUUCAUCUAAAGCUAAAUAUUGGCCAGAGACCGAUAGCGCACAAGUAGAGUGAUCGAAAGAUGAAAAGCACUUUGGAAAGAGAGUUAAACAGUACGUGAAAUUGUUGAAAGGGAAGCGCUUGCAACCAGACUUAGUUGCGGCCGAUCAUCUAGGGUUCUCCCUGGUGCACUCGGUCGUAUCUAGGCCAGCAUCGGUUUGGGUGGUGGGAUAAAGGCCUUGGGAAUGUAGCUUCUUUCGGGGAGUGUUAUAGCCCUCGGUGCAAUGCCGCCUACCNGGACCGAGGACCGCGCUUCGGCUAGGAUGCUGGCGUAAUGGUUGUAAGCGAC